rnacentral:misc_RNA from 1 species
GGGAAUAUAACUUUAUAGAAAAAUUCACACAAUUGGAUACAACAGAUCAUAUGUACAGAGUCUCUCAUAGUCGAGCAACAAAACAUCAAGGUAAAGAAACUCAGAGCUCCAGUUCUCCUAACAUAAGGACCAAAUUGUACUACAUUCAUUAUUCAUGAAGUGAAAACACUGAAAAACAUCUUAGUUUGAUGCAGACAACUCGACCAGGAGAAAGCCAUGAAAUGUAUUUAGCAACAGAGAUGUCAGUCUGCUGUCCAGCUUUGCUCAACUAUUUCACGCACCUUCCUGUUGUAGUCGCGCUUGUUCUCACUAAAUAGACGUGCAGCUUCUGAAUUAGCUGGCGAAUUGGGGUUUGGAUCACUGAGUAAAGACUGUAUUGAAGUAAGUAUAGCAGCUACAUCAUAUAUAGGACUCCAC